GAGAAGGAAACCGACGAAAUCCUCUCGCAUCUAGGGUUGCAGAAACUCUAACCAGUUUUUCUAUCCCUUUUCUCUCUCUCCAAUGCCCUACAUUCUGAAAAUCCCUGGAAUUUCCAUCCUAGGUUUUUUCCACGCGCUCCUUGAUCUGCAUUACCGGGAUUUUCUGGAGAGAAAACGGGAGGUUUCUAGGGUUUAUAGCUGAGAAAGAAUAGAAGCCUCUGAAAUCCCUGUUUUUUCCUAAAAUUUCUAGAAAUCUGUUCUGUUUUCCUGUUUGUAAAGGUGGAUCUGACCAUCGGAGAUCUUCAAGGUGUUUGUGCUUGUCAAUUCAGAGUUUUCUGGAGAGGAAUCAAGAGGUUGUCGGGUUGCUGGCUUCAGUGAUACUGAAUCCUCAGAAUUUGAGUUUUCCCAUCUCCUUUUUGGAGACAUCUACCGUUUUUUUGCUCGGAUCGAAGCUCAAUCAACGCGGAAGCUCGGAUCUUUGGAGUUUCCAAACCUUUGGCUUGCUCAUUUUCACUGAAUUUUUGAAAGAAAUCUGACCUCUUAUGUUUCUUUCUCUUUUCCUCCAAAGGAAUAUGAUCUAUCUUUCCUUUCCAAUCUCUGUUCAGCUCUUCCUUUAAAGCUUUUCAUGAGUUUCUUUGAUAUGUUAAAACUCUUAGAAGCUAAAGUCAUCUUUGAACUAUUUCUGUUGUUCGAUUUCUUUAUUUUGCAUUUUAUAGGUUUUUCCUUCAUUAGAUUGAUGUUCAGCUAUGUAUCUAAUUCUAUUUAAAUUAGAUGUUGCAAUGCUGGAUAUAAUACGUUUUCUUUUUUAUUGGAUGCUGGAUAUAAAACUUCUGUAGCUCCUAAGAAGUUUUAAAUGGUAGGUGAUCAUUCUGCAAUACUUACUGGAUAUAAUACUAAUGGUUCACUUGAGUUUUGAUUCUAUCUCAUUUUUUUAGCUCGUGUCCUAAAAUUAUUUGGCAAAGAAAAUGGACGGGGCGAAUUUCUCAUCAACAUUACAGUGGCCCUACCUAGCUCCCAUGGCAAGAAGUUCAUGGGAAAGAUUUUCGAAGAAAAGUCUGGUGGGUUUGUCACUUGUGAGAGCCAUUCCGAAGAAAAGCGUGUUGACAAUAUAGUGGGUAUUGCAUAUGCAAUGGAUAUGCUGGAUUAUGUUGAAAAGGUUGAUAAACUAGAAAGUUCUACUGUGGGAGCAAUUGCGCAUAAGCCUACCUACUUUGUACCUGAUUCGGAAUGGAGCAUCCAUAAUAUCUAAUGCUAAGUGAUAAUUGUUUAUCCUUAGAAGCGCUGAAUGAACUAACAGACGGUUACCCUGCCUCAUAUUAUGCUGAAAGACUGCUAUACUGCACUUUUGCAUUAUAAAUUUCCAUAAAGCUCUUUUUUUUUUUUUUUUUUUCAAAAUGAAUGAUGAAAUUUGGAUGAUAUCACGGAUUCAAUGUCCGUGUGGAAUCUGCUGAGAGAGUUCCGCAUAGGAAGGUUCAUAUGGCUAUUGUUCUAAAUGAAUAUGGUGGAACUGUGGGAGAUAUGGUGAAGCUUGUGAUUCAGAGAUAUACUAGAGAAGCUGGUGUGCGAAAUCUAGAGAGAAACUUAGCUGCCCUGGCUCGUGCAGCUGCUGUCAAAGCUGCUGAGCAAGAAUGUGCAGUUCCAGUCAGCAAAGAUGUAUACCCGAUGGCAGAAUGACUUCUUGAUACAAGACUUGCAGUUGGUGCUGAAGUUGAAAUGGAAGUCAUUCCAAUGGGUGUUAACGGACAUGAAAUAUCAAAUGCUCUUAGGAGUACCCCAGCAUUGGUUGUAGAUGAGGCUAUGCUGGAAAAGAUACUGGGGGUAAUAUAUCUUU